GUAGAAGUGCAAAACUUGGACUGGUACAACUCAUUUCGAUAUUAGUCAAGAGGACACUGGUUUCUCUUUGCUGCAAAGAAAACUUGGUUCUCGUGAGACUAGCAUAGAGGUUACGCUAUGUUUACAUCCUACAUCAUCUGCUUGAAUGCAACUCUCUCAUGAAUGUAAGUAAAUGCUAGUAAAUGUAUUUUGUUCAAAGAAUGUUUAGAUAUUUGUAGUGGAAAACAAGGACAAAAUAAUAUUGUUUUGCAGUGCAGUAAGAAUGAAAUAUGUGUAUUCACUUGUUUAAUGUUUAAUCUCCAAUGCACGUGCCAUGAUGAUUAUUAUUGGUUGGUUAACUUUGUUCCCAAUGGACACUUUCCUAUGCUUUAUGGGAUAACAAUAAUAUCAUUGGGGUUUGUCUUCAGUCUUCACUUCAGCAAAACAGUUUCCAGGGUCAUUUAGAGGUUAAGCAUACGGAUGUUUAUAUAUGUGUGUGUUCACAUACAGGUCAUUGACGUUGACUCAGUGCUGCUAGCUGCUGAUUGGCUAGAACCAGGAUAUCACCACAUUGAUAAACCGUAUAAAUGUAUUCUGAAGCAGCUCUGAGAGAAUAAGGCAGCAGUUCCUUUAAACAGUUCCUAAUGUGAGCAGAAUUAAAUUUAAUCAGUAUUUUAAUCCAUCAGGCUUUUUCUGCAGCAAUGCAUUACUUAAUUUCUUUACUAUUAGUCAUUAAUGGGUUACAUGUGAGCACUGAGUCCACGGGAACAUCAACAUAUAUUAAGGAUCGAAGCUAAAUGUGUCCAGUGAAACUCAAACAUAGCAGGGUUUAGUCUCAUGGUAGAAGAGACACUCUGUGUGAUUUGGGAUGAUAACACUGCACUCAAUGGGAUUCGCCUUCACUGCAUCGAUCCGUCCAAAGGCUCAGUUCAGUCAGAAGUAGGAAGCUGGGGUGAGUGGACAGAAAUCAAAUGAUGUUCACUGAUGGACUGGAGUGCUGUGGAUUAUUGUGAUGUUUUAUCAGCUGUUUAG